rnacentral:rRNA from 1 species
CUAAUACAUGCAAGUCGAACGCUUCUUUCCUCCCGAGUGCUUGCACUCAAUUGGAAAGAGGAGUGGCGGACGGGUGAGUAACACGUGGGUAACCUACCCAUCAGAGGGGGAUAACACUUGGAAACAGGUGCUAAUACCGCAUAACAGUUUAUGCCGCAUGGCAUAAGAGUGAAAGGUGCUUUCGGGUGUCGCUGAUGGAUGGACCCGCGGUGCAUUAGCUAGUUGGUGAGGUAACGGCUCACCAAGGCCACGAUGCAUAGCCGACCUGAGAGGGUGAUCGGCCACACUGGGACUGAGACACGGCCCAGACUCCUACGGGAGGCAGCAGUAGGGAAUCUUCGGCAAUGGACGAAAGUCUGACCGAGCAACGCCGCGUGAGUGAAGAAGGUUUUCGGAUCGUAAAACUCUGUUGUUAGAGAAGAACAAGGACGUUAGUAACUGAACGUCCCCUGACGGUAUCUAACCAGAAAGCCACGGCUAACUACGUGCCAGCAGGCGCGGUAAUACGUAGGUGGCAAGCGUUGUCCGGAUUUAUUGGGCGUAAAGCGAGCGCAGGCGGUUUCUUAAGUCUGAUGUGAAAGCCCCCGGCUCAACCGGGGAGGGUCAUUGGAAACUGGGAGACUUGAGUGCAGAAGAGGAGAGUGGAAUUCCAUGUGUAGCGGUGAAAUGCGUAGAUAUAUGGAGGAACACCAGUGGCGAAGGCGGCUCUCUGGUCUGUAA